UAUAAUGGAAUUCAAAACUAAGAUCUAAAUCACACACCACAUACUUUAUUAUGUGGCAAGCCGGAUAUGAAAUUAGUGAGAGUAAAUUGAUUUGGUCACUCUAUGCUCACACCUCCCUUUCAAGUCAGACUCUCUCUCUCCCCCUAUUCUCUUGUUCUGCUUAGCACCACAACUUUCUCCACAACUUGAGGACGAAUUCCUCCUCUUCCUCUCAUGCUUCAUUUGUGUCCUUUCCAUAAUCAUCUCCCUAUCUACAUCCUGAGCAACUCCUUCUUCUGUCCUAUAUCCAUUGUUUUCCCCAACUUUCUUGGUCGUAACUAAAUCUUCACCAUUAUUUUUGCUCAAAAUUUCAACAUAACUCACAUUUCUCACCCCACAAGUUCUCUGCCACUUUCCAUAGAAAACCCACCUCCAAUGACGGAAUCAUUGCCUUUUUCGGUCUCCUGUCCUAAAACCCAGCAUCUUUCUCUCCCUUCUCCCCCUAUCUCUUUAAUCCUACCAUGCUUCUUCUCCUCCUCCACAGGCUCAAUUGCUUCAACUCUGCAUUUCUCCUCUGCACCACAUUCUUCCUCCACCUCCAUUCUCGCCCGCUUUGUUUUAUGUGCCAUUACAAACCCAACAAACAAUAAAAGAAAAUGAACAGUGUUUUUUCGAUCCAAGUAGAGUAUAUAUUUCUUUAUGGAGGGGUGGCUUUUGUGGGGAAAGAGUGGUGGGUCUCCUGAGCAGAUAACAACUACACCACCAUUGCAAGUUUCAUCACACACGCUGUGAGCGUUAGGAGAGCUUUGGGGGAGAAGACGUGGGAGAUUUGGAUGUUUGGAGAUUUUGUUUGUUUUUGCAUUGCAAGGGUGCAUAUUUUGCUUUGAAAAAAGGCUGGCAUCGAUGUGCUGACCGUGCAAGUUCCUGUAGUAUAACUCUGUAAGUAGUAGGAGCCCAACGUGAAAAGGAUUUACUCUAGCCACAAAAUUACAAAUGGAUAGAAACGAGGGUACGUGUAGACCACAUGAAAAUAGCUCUUAUGCAUAUCAUUUUUGCGAUAAGGCCCUGCAACCCAUCUCUUCUAAUUAGACCAACCGUGGAUUCUCCGGCCCAUGAAGACAUCAAUCACCAAGAUGCAGCCCAUUGAUAUUGAACGUAGUACGGUCUUUCAAGACACCGAUCCUUCAGACGGGGGAAGAAUUUCACCAAACAGCAUUGUGCGUGAGCCACACAUGCGGUUCAAAGUGGGCGCGUGAAACCCAUGUGCCUUUACUAAGGGUGCUCUUCUGCCGUUACGUACGGCUUUUCUGGGUCUAAAGCCACCGGUUACUUCAAACCUGACUAACCUCCAUACUUCCAGGAGGGCACAUGGCUCUCACACGUCAUCACAGUCAUUUUGUUUGUAAUUUUUUUCCUCCAAUGUUGAAAAUAUGGAUCUAUGUCUUUUCAAAAUGUAAUUUAUUUUUUUUUCAUGUAUUUUUAAUUUUUAUUAUAUCUUUUGUUUUAAAAAAAAAACAAAGUUUCUUGAACUUUUGUUCAUAGAGUGUGUUCUCUAUUCUUUCUUAAAUAAAGUAUGGAGUUUGUUAACUCUGUCUUAAACAGAGUUGUGUUAUCUCUUAGAUAGAGUUGUGUUAUCUCUCAGACAAUGGUCUUUAGAAGUUCGCAGCAUGGACUAGGCCUGCAACACGAUGUGUAAUAGAUGGGUUCGUGACCAACCCGACCCGAAUGCCUCCAAUUAAGGCGCCAAACUGAUCCAAUCCGAUCCGAACAAAAUAAAAUCGGGUGGACCCGUAUGACCCGACCUUCGCAAAUAAACAUGAAUAUAUGUUUUCCAUGCUUCCAGAAGGUAGAAACAGAAACUGAUUCACAAACUUAAAACCAUGUAAAUUUGGAUUGUAGAGGAAGAUAUAUACACACAUACAAAGGAGAGGAAGAGAGAGAAGUGGUUUUGGGAUCGAAGGAGAAGAUCUCGAGCUGAGAAGGAGAGGCAUCCUCAAGCUUCGACCUGCGCAGCACCACCAAAUUCACUUUAUCGGGCCCUUGAAUCCAUGAACCACACAUAACCAGACCCUGGUUCGACCCGCCACCAUCCAUUAACCAAAUUUCCCAAAGUGAAAGAGAGAAACUGUCGACGUUGUGGUUGCAAAACAGAGAGAGAAGCCAUCUGGUGACAUCACGAUUAUCAUGGGUUCCCCCAACUCGCUACUCAAGACCCUUCCACCCACCGACCAAAUUUUCCACAGCGAAAGAGAGAAACCAUCGAUGUUGUGGUUGGAAAACAAAGAGAGAAGCCAUAUUCCCUCGACUUACUGCUCAAGACCCAUCUAUCGUCCAUCGACCAAAUUUCUCAAAGUGAAAGAGAGAAACCAUCGACGUUGUGGUUGAAAAAUAGAGAGAGAAGCCAUCUGGUGACAUCGCGAUUCUCAUGGUACUUUCUCUCGUGAGCCAGUUAUUAGCCAAAUACGGAAUUUUGGUGCUCAUAUCAGGCAAGAAGGAUGGUGUCGUUGCUGUUGGCGUUCAUGUUGGCCAGAAGGACGUCGAGCUAGUCACCAGAGGGCUUGAGGCUGAGUGGGCGAAGAAGAAGGUUAAGUCAGAGUGAGCGGCUACUGGCUAGGGUUGAGUGAGCGAAGAAGGUUUGACUCCAACUAUACGAACCCGUUAUUAGUCAGGUUGGAGACCCGCUCAAUAUAAUAACCCGAAAAAUAUGGGUCGGUUCGGAUCAUCCUCACCAGUUCCAAUGGGUCUUCGGGUCACAUGCACACCCCUAGCAUAGACUAGACCAUGUUAGUCACAGAUAUGUAUUAGAAAAAGCUAUUAAUAUUAUAAUUGACUUAUAAUGUAUAUUUCAGGUCAAGGUUAUAAUGUUUGUUA